GUGUUUGUGCCCGGGAUGUCGGGGGGCCCCCUUCUGCCUGCGGCGGCGUACAUCUGCCUGGCAGUCUGCCUCCUCAGCAAACAAGGGGGUUGAAUUUGGGAGGAUGGGGUGUGUAGGAGGAAUGGAUGGAAGUGUGUAGGCGGAGAGGUUGGGGCAGGAGGGGGAGCUAGGCGGAGGGAGCAGGGAGGGGGCGUGGUCCUCCCUGCAAAAUCCCCGCCCGCCCUGACCGAGGCUUCUCCUGAUUGGCUUCUCGACCGAAGGGCUCAGGUUACAUUCGCGAGCAGAGCGGAGCGCGGGAGAGAGGACCCGAGAGCAGAGCUGCUGCUUCGGCGCUGGUCAGCGGGCACCCUAAGGCCCCAGAGUCCCCACCCAGCACCACCCAGACCCCACCCCCGCCCUGCGCCAGCCUGUGCCCCAGCCAAGGACCCCCAACACCAGCAUGGACUGCUGCACCAGGCAGAGCUGCUGAUUCAAAUGUACCAGUUGCUGAUUUACAUAGUCACGAGAGCGCGUGCUCCAAGCCGGACGACGACAUUCUAGACAUCCCGCUGGACGAUCCCGGCGCCA
ensembl:lncRNA